GAAUAAUCUAUUUCACUUCAUGGGGAAAUACUGAAAGACGGCAUCUCGCUGUCGCUAUAAGAUGGGCCCGCGGCGCAUUAGCUAGUUGGUGAGGUAACGGCUCACCAAGGCGACGAUGCGUAGCCGACCUGAGAGGGUGAUCGGCCACACUGGGACUGAGACACGGCCCAGACUCCUACGGGAGGCAGCAGUAGGGAAUCUUCCACAAUGGGCGAAAGCCUGAUGGAGCAACGCCGCGUGAGUGAAGAAGGUUUUCGGAUCGUAAAACUCUGUUGUAAGGGAAGAACAAGUACAGUAGUAACUGGCUGUACCUUGACGGUACCUUAUUAGAAAGCCACGGCUAACUACGUGCCAGCAGCCGCGGUAAUACGUAGGUGGCAAGCGUUGUCCGGAAUUAUUGGGCGUAAAGCGCGCGCAGGCGGUCCUUUAAGUCUGAUGUGAAAGCCCACGGCUCAACCGUGGAGGGUCAUUGGAAACUGGGGGACUUGAGUGCAGAAGAGGAAAGUGGAAUUCCAAGUGUAGCGGUGAAAUGCGUAGAGA
rnacentral:rRNA from 1 species